GACGAACGCUGGCGGCGUGCCUAAUACAUGCAAGUCGAACGCAGUGGGGAUGGGUGAGUAAAACGUGGGUAACCUCCCAUCAGAGGGGAUAACAGUUGGGAACAGGUGCUAAACCGAUACUGAUGGAUGGACUCGCGGUGCAUUAGCUAGUUGGUGAGGUAACGGCUCACCAAGGCCACGAUGCAUAGCCGACCUGAGAGGGGGAUCGGCCACACUGGGACUGAGACACGGCCCAGACUCCUACGGGAGGCAGCAGUAGGGAAUCUUCGGCAAUGGACGAAAGUCUGACCGAGCAACGCCGCGUGAGUGAAGAAGGUUUUCGGAUCGUAAAGCUCUGUUGUUAGAGAAGCGGUAUCUAACCAGAAAGCCACGGCUAACUACGUGCCAGCAGCCGCGGUAAUUC
rnacentral:rRNA from 1 species